CGGGCAGCGGGCCCCGUGUGCCCUGAGCAUCCCCCGCCAGCCGCGGGCCGAGGCCAGAAGGCACGGGCACCGUGGCCGUGCUCGCGCGGGGUUCCCCGUUGCCAUCACACCAGGUAGCGUGUCGUGGUAAUCCAGAAGCUGCUCCAGAGGCCCCAAGGGCUUCCCAGCCAAGCCUGGGGUCACUGGCAUGUAAAAGGGUCCCGGCUCCAAAGGUUCAGGGAAGUGGGCAGAACGUACAGAUUCCACAUCUCUGAGGGAGAUUUGCUCUCUUCAGAAGUUUCAGGGACUGAUUCUGCACCUCAUAUGAGCACUGCAAGGACUGGCAACCCUCAGUUCCAGGAGUCUCGUCAUCAUUGGUUUUCGGUUGAGUGUGCACUGUGACUGUACAUAAGCAAAUAAAAGUCCCUCCUUCACAAGUUUGGCUGGACUAUAUCUUACAAGCUUAAAAGAGGUCUCCCAUUCAUCUCCACACGUAGCAAGGAACUUCUGGUGACCAUUCUUUUGCAUUGGUGUUAGCGUAACUGCAGAUUCACCAGGAUUAGGGGACUGAUUUGACUGAAACCUCUUAAAAAUAAUACUGCACACACACACACACAUACACACACGCACACACACAUACACACUCCUUAAUUCUGAGUUGGAAUUAUUUCCUUAGUUUUCCAUUAGCUGCACAAGGAAGAGACUUGACUUGUGAUUAUGCAAAGGCAGGUCCUCUCCAUGACAGCCUGAAUGCAGGUCAGCCUGAGGGAAUGAUGUUGAGGAGGGGGAAGCAUGG